AGUGAACGCUGGCGGUAGGCCUAACACAUGCAAGUCGAACGGCAGCACAGUAAGAGCUUGCUCUUACGGGUGGCGAGUGGCGGACGGGUGAGGAAUACAUCGGAAUCUACUUUUUCGUGGGGGAUAACGUAGGGAAACUUACGCUCAUACCGCAUACGACCUACGGGUGAAAGCAUGGGAUCUUCGGACCUUGCGCGAUUGAAUGAGCCGAUGUCGGAUUAGCUAGUUGGCGGGGUAAAGGCCCACCAAGGCGACGAUCCGUAGCUGGUCUGAGAGGAUGAUCAGCGACACUGGAACUGAGACACGGUCCAGACUCCUACGGGAGGCAGCAGUGGGGAAUAUUGGACAAUGGGCGCAAGCCUGAUCCAGCCAUACCGCGUGGGUGAAGAAGGCCUUCGGGUUGUAAAGCCCUUUUGUUGGGAAAGAAAAGCAGCAGGUUAAUACCCCGCUGUUCUGACGGUACCCAAAGAAUAAGCACCGGCUAACUUCGUG
rnacentral:rRNA from 1 species